rnacentral:ncRNA from 1 species
AUGCGACACUAGGGGGGCGCGAAUCCGGCUAAGAUAGAAAGACUAGCUUUCUGCCCCUUUGAACCUGUUUGUUAGUACAAGCGUAGGGAAGUGGAUGAAAAGCUCG